GGCAAGAGCUCAGAUUUGAAAUCGUGUUUCGGCACGAGUUGUAGAGUGUAGGCGGGAGUCUCUGUGGAGCGCGGUGUCCAAGUCCCUUGGAACAGGGUGCCUGAGAGGGUGAGAGCCCCGUAGGGUGCUGCGCGAAGCUUUUGAGGCCCUGCUGACGAGUCGAGUUGUUUGGGAAUGCAGCUCCAAGCGGGUGGUAAAUUCCAUCUAAGGCUAAAUAUUGGCGAGAGACCGAUAGCGAACAAGUACUGUGAAGGAAAGAUGAAAAGCACUUUGAAAAGAGAGUGAAACAGCACGUGAAAUUGUUGAAAGGGAAGGGUAUUGGGCUCGACAUGGGGGGUGCGCACCGCUGUCUCUUGUAGGCGGCGCUCUGGGCGCCCUCUGGGCCAGCAUCGGUUCCUGCUGCGGGAGAAGGGGCUCCGGAAAGUGGCUCUUCGGAGUGUUAUAGCCGGGGCCAGAUGCCGCGUGUGGGGACCGAGGACUGCGGCUUCUGUCUCGGAUGCUGGCAUAACGGCGCAAUACCGCCCGUCUUG
rnacentral:rRNA from 1 species